UGGGGAAUAUUGGACAAUGGGCGAAAGCCUGACGCAGCCAUGCCGCGUGAAUGAUGAAGGUCUUAGGAUUGUAAAAUUCUUUCACCGGGGAAGAUAAUGACAGUACCGGGAGAAUAAGCCCCGGCUAACUCCGUGCCAGCAGCCGCGGUAAUACGGAGGGGGCUAGCGUUGUUCGGAAUUACUGGGCGUAAAGCGCGCGUAGGCGGCUUUGUAAGUCAGAGGUGAAAGCCUGGAGCUCAACUCCAGAACUGCCUUUGAGACUGCAUCGCUUGAAUCAUGGAGAGGUUAGUGGAAUUCCGAGUGUAGAGGUGAAAUUCGUAGAUAUUCGGAAGAACACCAGUGGCGAAGGCGACUAACUGGACAUGUAUUGACGCUGAGGUGCGAAAGCGUGGGGAGCAAA
rnacentral:rRNA from 1 species